AUUGAACGCUGGCGGCAUGCUUUACACAUGCAAGUCGAACGGCAGCAUAGAGAGCUUGCUCUCUGAUGGCGAGUGGCGAACGGGUGAGUAAUACAUCGGAACGUGUCCGUUUGUGGGGGACAACCACCCGAAAGGGUGGCUAAUACCGCAUAAGACCUGAGGGUGAAAGCCGGGGACCGCAAGGCCUGGCGCGAACGGAGCGGCCGAUGACUGAUUAGCUGGUUGGCGGGGUAAAGGCCCACCAAGGCGACGAUCAGUAGCUGGUCUGAGAGGACGACCAGCCACACUGGAACUGAGACACGGUCCAGACUCCUACGGGAGGCAGCAGUGGGGAAUUUUGGACAAUGGGGGCAACCCUGAUCCAGCCAUGCCGCGUGCGGGAAGAAGGCCUUCGGGUUGUAAACCGCUUUUGUCAGGGACGAAAAGGUGCGGGUUAAGAGCUAGCACUGAUGACGGUACCUGAAGAAUAAGCACCGGCUAACUACGUG
rnacentral:rRNA from 1 species